rnacentral:rRNA from 1 species
AUGAUUGAUGUUGCAGUUGCUUCCCUAACUACUAGAUUUGAGGAACUGAAGACAUUUGGGAGCAUAUUUGGUUUCUUGUUCAACUCGAAAGAGUUGAAGUCCUUGGGUGAUAAUGAUCUAAGAAGAUGUUGCACUAAUUUUGUCAACAAAUUCACUCAUGGUAAGUCAGCAGAUGUCGAUCUAGAUGAUUUUGUUUCUGAACUAAAAGUACUGCAGAUGACAUUGCCAAACACAUUCAUGUUAGCGGAUCAGAUAUUUGAGUUUGUUAGAGAUGCGGAUUGUUAUCUAAAUGUCUCAAUUGCUUAUCAUAUCCUUUUGACCGUACCUGUGACUGUUGCAUCAGCUGAAAGGAAAUUCUCAAAAUUGAAACUCUUGAAAAAUUAUUUGAGGUCAACGAUGUCUCAAGAAAGAUUAAAUGGAUUGGACAUGUGCUGCAUUGAGAAGAAUAUGCUGGAUAGUAUUGAUCUUGACACUCUUAUUGAUGAUUUUGCGUCAAAAAAUGCACGAAAGUCUCGUUUCGUUUCACAUGACCAUUGGAGGUUAGCAUGCUAUUUCUAUAUGCUUUUUCUGCGUUGUAACUUCCAUGAUACUUGGUAUGCAACAAAGACAGGGAAAAUAACAUAUGCUUGA